rnacentral:lncRNA from 1 species
GGAGAAGAGACCUUAAAAGGCCCCCAUCUCCCAUGGAUGAGAGUUAAAUAGUUUCAGGAUGGGGCUGCAACUUUCCUUUGCUCUGUUGGAGGGAAAAGACACUGAGCUCUGCUGCUAGGAACCAAAGUCUCACUUUGCUCUUGUGACUUAUCUCGUGAUUCUGGGGGCUUUUAAGACACUUCUUCUAAAUAAAAACUGGCAGACGAAGAGGCAGGACAAUGUCCAAGCACCAGGGACAGUCAGAGAUGGAGAAGAUUGGUUGGUUGGUUGGUUUUUUUUUGCUCUAUUUGAGAUCCAAACCUUCAGAGCAGCUGCAGGAGAGGAGACUGUUGUCAAGGGCGCGAGACACAGACACUGCUCAAAGGAGAGCCAUAAACCAAAGGCAAAGGUCCCCGGACAAGGGCCAGGGGCAGAGGGAGAGGAGUGCUUACAGCCGUCCCCUUCCAAUGGAAGUGAAGCAGAAUUUGCUCUCAUGCUUUUUCCCAGCCUGGAUUUCUGGUGAUUCUUUCCAAUUAAUUUCACCUCUUUUCCCUACCAAGCUCCAGAAAAUGUGAUUAAACAGAAGGAAAAGCAGCAAGAACAGCAAACCGACGUAUCUAUGGAGUUUCUCUGGCUCUCUGCUGCCAACUGAGGGGCUCUCCCCACCUUCAUGGACGUCCCAGGGAUGUUUCAGAAGCCGAAAAUGCCUCUGGGUGGAAUCAGAAUUCAACUCCAGACAGCCUGAAAAUCCUGCAGCUUAAGGGCAGGUCGUGAACCGGCUCCCAUUGCAAGGGGAUGGUCUUAGCAGCCUCGUCCGCCCCGGAUUGGUGAGCCCCGCCGGAAGCCGCCUGCACACGCAUUUUCUAACAGAUAAGUCAAUCGGCAGAGACUUGCCCCCCUCUCCCCCCCCACCUUAUCCCAAAAUACCGUUUUCGCAAAGCCGGAGCCCACCAGUCACCCGGCAGCUCCCAGCACUCCCCUCUCCGCCACCCACCCUCGGCUCCUUAGCUCUAAAGGAGGGGGAUGAGGGGAUGUUUCCCCCCUCGCACCUCCUUUGGGGGUGCAAAAGGGUCGGCAGCAGCCGGCACCGGGGGUCCCGCACCCAGCCACCCCUCCGGGCCCGCAGCUUCCCCGGUGCCGCAUAACCUCUGUCCUCAGUCGGCUCUGGGAUGACGUGGCUUCGCACCCACCGCAAUUGGGGAUUUCGAGGUGUCCGUUCUGCUGGAGGCUCCUUAUGGACCGGGGGGAAAUAAAAAGAGAAGAUAGGCCUUUUCUUUUUUGUCGCGGCACGAAAUACCGUCUUUAGGCAAGGGUCUAAAGAUGCUAAAACGGCACCAGAAAUCGAAGUCUAGGAAAGGAGUGAGAAAAAUGAAAUAACGCGAAAUCGGCCGGAGCUGGGGAAGGUUCGCUCUAACAAGUGGUGGGAGGAUGCUCUGCCAACGAGUGGGGCUGCCUCUUCUUUAUAUAUUUCCUUGGCUCUUAUUAUUAUUAUUAUUGCUAUUUUUUCUUCGGAGUGGGAGAGUUUGCUUAAAAAGUGAUCUUAAUUAAAAAGAGAAGGAGCGGAAUGGGUAAGUCGGUGCUGGAUUCGGCCUCGCCGAGUGCUGGGGAGGGAGGUGGUGUUCGUAACGUGUUGGUCUUUUUGUAGUUUCCCACGUGUAGAUUCCCGAGAAUACUUAAUGCUUCUCAUCAGCUGCAGCCGUCCGGAUAGAAAGCUGUUGGCUGCUUCUGCGGACGGGCGAGCAGAGCUGAUCGUCUUCCCCCUUCUUUAGCUUCUAUGAUCAUUUCUUCCUCUGUCUUCUCAAAGUUCAAGCUCUCCUUUAAAACAAAGAUCGGGAGCAAAACCGAUCUUUGUUCGCACCUCCACUUCUCCGCACCGUCUGUUGAGAGUUCCGUCUAUUCUCGGUUCCGACUCUUCACGAGCCCGCUGUGUGGACGGAAGCUUGCUAGGCUUGGAAUUAAAAGGUCAUUUCGAGAGGAUUGCCAAGUCUACGUGCUGGGGGGACUCAGCCUUUUAUGCCGCCAUGUGUUGUCUCCGUCCGCUGCCAUAGGAAAGCAGUUGUGCCGUAAUGAGGUACCUUUAAAUUUAAUUUCCUGCCCCUCCCCUGCUUUAUGGAUUUCUAAUAACAAUGUUGGAAACCGGAGAAGAAACCUCUUAAAGUCUCCCGGACGGAGGGUUUAUAUAAAUAAUGGAAGGUAGCCGAGCUUAAUUAAGUUUUCCAACAAAUUGGUAGGAUAGGAAGAAAUGCGGUAUUUUGUUUAAGGGGACACCCAGAGAAGGAUGCAUUUCUGUUGGGUCUUUCCAUAGAAUUCUUAUCAAUAUUACUCUUCAAUUUAUUCAUUCUUAACUGAUUUUUUUUUUUCGGAGAUUUAAACGUAAUCCCAAAUAACCUGAAAUGUAUAAACUAAAAAUAAUUAAAAGAUUAAUCGGGGGGAGAAAGAAAGAAAAGAAGACUAAAACUGAGAUUUUUGGUCAGAUUUCCCCAUGAAAAAUAAAAUAGGAAAAAAAAAUCGAAUGAAUUGUUGGACCGAUAAAGUCUUAGCGAAGAGAGAGGUUUAAUGUCGGAUAAGUAGAUGCUCGUAUCCGACUGCAGGUUUGCUGGAAGUGUUUUGCCAACUCCUUUUCUUUAAUGCCAUCCAACGUUUCCUUCUCCCUUUUAAGUGCUGCUGGAUUCUUUCUCGAGGUUCAGCCUUACCCGCUCCACCCAAAGCUCCUGUUGCGACUUAAAGUCUUAUUCGAUUAAUUUAGAAGAUUUGCCGCAUCUGUGGACUAAUUAGAUGAUAUUUCUGUAAGCGAAGCUCCCCUCGCUCUCCCCAUCUCAGCUCACGAUGCCGGGUUUGGUGCAGAGCCCCAGGAUGGGGCUGAGACGGCUCCGAUCGCCCCAAACUGGGGUCGGGUUUAUGGGGAUCAUUCUUACGUAUUCUCUCGCUGAGCUGUGGGAUCGUUUCGUUUCUGCACACCGUCUGCAUUUCCAGUUCACCCUGUAAAGAUACAGAAUUACUGAGAUAGGUGUGAUCGAUCUCCCCCCGCCUUUUUGUUCCUAUUAAUUGGGGUUCUCCGGCACCGGAGGGAUUUUUAUCCGGAUUUUUUCUUUUUCUCCCCGGGGAUUUCGCACAGUUUGGUUUCUCUUAAUUGUGUGGGAAGUGGA